rnacentral:misc_RNA from 1 species
GAGAGAGAGAGAGCGAGAGCGAGAAGAUGAAAUCGAUGAAUGAUAAUAACAAUGGAAGCAAUAAUAACUGGCUGGGAUUCUCUCUCUCACCCCACAUGAAAAUGGAGGUUGCUUCUGACCCCCAACAUCAUCAUCGCCAGUACCAUCAUGAAUCCCAGGCUCCUUCUACUGCUGUCGUUGGUGUUUCUAGUGCUGUUCCAACAAGCUUCUAUCUGUCCUCUUCUCACUUCAAUAGCCCUGGAAUCUGUUAUGGGGUUGGGGAAAAUGUUGGUUUUCACUCACCCUUGUCUGUUAUGCCACUCAAGUCUGAUGGGUCUCUUUGCAUUUUGGAAGCUCUAACUAGAUCACAACCUGAAGGGAUGGUGCCAAGUUCACCACCAAAACUAGAGGACUUUCUGGGUGGUGCAACUAUGGAAACUCAUCAGUACGGCACCCACGAAAGGGAAACAAUGGCCCUAAGCCUAGAUAGCAUGUAUUAUCAUCAAAACACGGAGCCAGAAAGCAACAGGCAAAAUUCUGUUGACCUUCAUGAACCUUAUAGGCAACAAGACCAACAGUUCUCGAUCCAAACCCAUCCAUAUUAUGGUGAAAUAGCAUGCCAUGGAAUGUACCAAGACUCACUAGAGGAAGCAACCAAGGAUACCCAGCUUGCUGAUUGUGAUUCCCAGAUCCCCCAUAUGGAGGAUGAAGAGAUGCCUUGCUUAAAGAACUGGGUUGCUAGACAAUAUUCCACCCAUAAUGCACUAGAGCAGCAACUUAAUAGCAGCAUGGUUGAUGACGGAGGAGCCUCGGGUUCCGUUGGUCCUAUUAGUUGUGGGGAUUUACAGUCUCUCAGCUUGUCCAUGAGUCCUGGUUCUCAGUCCAGUUGUGUUACAGCGCCAAGACAGAUCUCACCUACCGGCAAUGAAUGUAUUAUGGCCAUGGAAACAAAGAAGAGAGGGUCUGCAAAAGUGGGUCAAAAGCAGCCUGUUCAUAGGAAGUCCAUAGAUACAUUUGGGCAAAGAACAUCACAGUAUAGAGGAGUUACCAGGCAUAGAUGGACGGGCAGAUAUGAAGCCCAUCUCUGGGAUAAUAGUUGCAAGAAGGAGGGCCAGACCAGGAAGGGAAGGCAAGUUUAUCUUGGGGGGUAUGAUAUGGAAGAGAAAGCUGCAAGGGCUUAUGAUCUUGCUGCCCUUAAGUACUGGGGACCUUCUACACACAUCAAUUUUCCGCUGGAAAAUUACCAGGAAGAGCUUGAAGAGAUGAAGAAUAUGAGCCGACAGGAAUACGUUGCGCAUUUACGAAGGAAAAGUAGUGGGUUCUCCAGGGGGGCCUCAAUGUACAGAGGAGUAACAAGGUUUCUUAUUUAUCUUUAUUUCGCAACCAGGUUUAUUUGUUUUAAUGGAAAGUUUUUUAUUCCAAAUUUCUACUGUUUUCAAAAUUUCUCCCAUCAUAUGCCAUUGCCAGACAUCACCAGCAUGGAAGGUGGCAAGCAAGGAUAGGCAGAGUUGCAGGAAACAAGGACCUUUAUCUUGGGACGUUCAGUAAGUUCUAUCAUUUUAGAUUUAAAGUUCUCCCCUAUUUUAUGGGGCUAUAUUCCUUUCAAUCAUUCUCAUUUCAAGUUCAAAAUUUUUUUUGGGCUCUUGCUGUGCAUAAAGAACUUUUAAAAGGACUCAUUUUUAUGACACCUCUGCUUGCAUGUCUCCACUAAAGACUAGUGAUGCUUUUAUAAGGCUGAUGAUGGCCUACUUUGGGACUGUACAGUACAUGCUUUUCUGAUUCAGUAAAAUCUCAACUUUUUAUAAGGCUGUUUUUCUAUCAGUUAAGAUGAUAAAAGAGGGAUAAAAGUAUUUUCUGACUAAAAUUCUUUGAUUGAAGGUUUUUUGAAUUGUCUUUUAUGCUAAAUUGUGGGUGUUGGCAUUCUUGCAUAAAAUGUUAAAUGUAAAAUAAAAUUCCAGGCACCCAAGAGGAAGCGGCUGAAGCUUAUGAUAUUGCAGCGAUCAAGUUUCGUGGGGUUAAUGCUGUAACUAACUUCGACAUAACAAGAUAUGAUGUUGAGAGGAUCAUGGCAAGUAGCACUCUGCUAGCAGGAGAGCUAGCCAGGCGAAACAAGGAGACUGAGACGAGUAAUGGGGCAAUUGAGUAUAACCCACCAGCACAGAACAGCGGUGAAUCCAUACAGAUUCCAAAUAGCAAUGGCUCUGAUUGGAAAGUGGCUUUGUACGAGUCACCGCAGCGGCCACAGCCCAAUGCCUGCGUUGAUUCGCUUGAUCACAAGUCCACGAGUGUGGGAAUUUAUCGAAGUUCCUCGUAUUCAAUGGCAAUGCAAGAUCUUAUCGGUAUUGAUUCAGUGAACUGUAGCCAGCCUGCAGUGAUGGAUGAAUCAGCCGCCAGACUUGGGACCCAUGCCUCGAAUACGUCAUCGUUGGUGACCAGUUUGAGCAGCUCGAGAGAAGCUAGCCCAGAUAAAACUAGCACCACAGUGCUGUUUGCUAAGCCUCCUGUGGCAUCAAAGUUCAUUAACCCUGCAAGCGGUGUUACUCCAUGGUUCCAAACAGCAGCAGCCCAGCUGAGGCCAGCAGCAAUCUCCAUGGGUCACUUGCCAGUUUUUGCAGCUUGGAAUGAUACCUAAAAUUAGACCGUUCUUGUGUUUUGCUGAAACAGGCGAAGUUUUUGCAUGGGCAAAAUACAAGGGUGAAGUAGGAUUUUUCAUUAUGUUAGUGGAGAAAAUUGGGGAUUAAUGAGAACACAAUGGUGGGGGCCAAUUAUCUUGUCUGUAACCCAAGUAUAAGAAACUUUUUAGCAAAUGUGGACCUUUUGGCUCAUAUUGGAAUGAAAGAUUUUGCAAAAUGGAGGGAUUAAUGAUUAAAUUGUGUGGAAUUGCUGUUGGCCCAUAUAACAAUUGUUUUGAAUGAAUCUACUUUUUUAUGUGCUGCUAAGUACAUAACCAGCUCAUUGUUUUCCAAUAAUGCAAAAG